rnacentral:tRNA from 1 species
GUAAAUAUAAUUUAAUAAAAAAAUACUAAAUUGUGGAUUUAGACAUAGAAAUUAAUAAUUUCUUAUUUACC